UGCUCCUUCUCUCUAAUCCUUGGUACCUGGUGGUAGUGCUUUCUAAAUGCAAUGUACCUGGGCAAGGAUUCAGAGCGGGGGA
rnacentral:pre_miRNA from 1 species